UAGUGGAGGUGGGAGGAAAGAGAGAAAUAUCAUGUCACCUUUCUUAUCUUGAAUGUCUUUAUAUUCACUCAAGACUGUACUCUUUAAGGCAUAAUGUGUAGAGGCAAAGAAGAAAGAGAGGGAGAAAGAGGGAAGCAAGAAGGAAGAACCCAAAAGGUCUUCAGUGUUUUCCAUUUUCCACACAACAUCAAAGAAGCCUUGACUUCAUUUUAACUUCAUGUAUAGAACAAUAAAUAUUUUGUUCCACAUGCUGGCAUGACUGGAAGCUGCUUCUUCCUGAGGAGUGAAUGAUCACUACCCCAUGUGUUGGUUUUUUUGUUAUCUGAUUAAGACUGACCCACAUUUCUGGCAGCCACUUGGAAGAAUGUUAAGACUGGCAAUGUGACAUGUGUGUCAAGCUUCAUGGAAGAAUGAACAAAAACUAAAAUACAGAGAGGAUUCACCAUCCCAUUGGUAUGGAAGACACCAGCUGCCCCUGGUGGAAAGUGAAAAGCAGGAAAAGUACUAUUUUUUUCUUUCCUUCUUCCUGAGAUCUCUUCAUAUAGGAGAGCUGUGAGGGGAAUUUUUAAAAAUCUCAUCAUGUCCAGCGAGUCCAUGUGAUCCUCAUGUCCUCCCCAAUUAAACUGUAAAAGAUUCAUGGCUUAUGCAGAUCAAUUUAAGGGCUCACAAUAUUCUGUUGCCUACAAAUGGGCACCUUCAAUAUUCUAUAGGUCUUGGAGCCAACUGAAUGCUGGGGUUUUGGGAGAAGGGGUAAAUUCCUUUUUCAUUUAAUUUAUGAAUAGAAUCUAAGUAUCUGGAAGUUUGUUGAGGGUGCAGAAACCAGUACCUUAUAUUUAGGUUGACCUGUGUUUUCAGUGUUAGUCAUUAGAAAAAACAAAUUUGAUUUGAUGGAAUAAUGAUUUCUAGUCUAUAUCAUAUCUAAAAAUUGGCUCUCUCCUCAAAUAUUACAGUUUUUGCUUCCAUUCUUACUUUAACAUGGAGCAACCUUGAGUAGUCUCUUGUGUUCUGGGCAUAACAGGAGAGGAUUAUUCCAUUCUGACUUCUCCAUCCUGUGAGUUGAUUUUCUUUUUUAAAAAAAACAUAAAUAGCAGGACUGGUCUCCAGAAGUUGUAGGAUGUGGCUCCCAACAUUCCUUACCACUGACUAUGCUGUUUUGGGCUGCUGGGAGGUGUAGGCAAACCAUAUCUGGAAGGCCACAUGAUUCUUACCCUUGAUUUUUAGUGUCUAGGCUGUAGAGAAUGUGAAUUGUAUUACCUGUAAACAUUGUUGUUGAAAGGAUUGUAACUUCCAAGAGCAAUCAAUGAGCCCAGACCCAAACCAUAGGAGAAAAAGAUCUGUGUAGCAGCAUCUAGCCAAACCUAAUAGUCAAGGAUAAAUACAUGUCUGUAAGCUUUUGAUUUAUGUCUUAUAAAUAAUUUCAAAUGUGACAAUAUUGGCAGGUAAUAAGAAUUCGUAAAAAUAAGAGUAAUACAAUUCUAUGUAAAUUACAAAACAUGAAUGUUUACCUCAGAAUCUGAUAGCUUCUCAAACUUAGGAGUUAUAUAGAAUAAAAUGCCUUCUUUUGCUCCAGGUAAUGUCACUCCACGGAAGAACAAGAUAAGCAACAUGAUAUACGGAUAUGUGGCAGAGAAAUAUACCACCUAAUACAAAGAAUGAGAUUAUUAGUAUUGGAAACCGUGACCAUUGUCAUUAUCUGAGUCAUUUUAGUAUGAAGCUUAAGGAAUACAAUGGGUAAUAAACCCAGUCUGUUGUUGUGAAGUCAGGAACAUGAAGGUAUUCAUCUCUUUCUUCCUGUAUGUUAGGUGCACAGUUCUUAUUUCUAUCCUCUCUGUAUAUGCCUAAAAUCAUAGCAAUGCUUACUUAAUUAAAAGUUUGAUUUGUAA